GAUAAACGCUGGCGGCGCACAUAAGACAUGCAAGUUGAACGGACUUAAUCGAAAUAUUUAUAUUUUGAAGCGGUUAGUGGCGGACUGGUGAGUAACGCGUAAGGAACCUGCCUAUUAGAGGGGAGUAACAGUGAGAAAUCAUUGCUAAUACCGCAUAUGCCAUAGAUAUCACAUGAUAACAGUGGGAAAGGAGCAAUCCGCUAAUAGAUGGCCUUGCGUCUGAUUAGAUAGUUGGUGGGGUAACGGCCUACCAAGUCGACGAUCAGUAGCCGGACUGAGAGGUUGAACGGCCACAUUGGGACUGAGAUACGGCCCAGACUCCUACGGGAGGCAGCAGUCGGGAAUAUUGCGCAAUGGAGGAAACUCUGACGCAGUGACGCCGCGUAUAGGAAGAAGGUUUUCGGAUUGUAAACUAUUGUCGUUAGGGAAGAGAAAGGACAGUACCUAAGGAGGAAGCUCCGGCUAACUACGUG
rnacentral:rRNA from 1 species